AUUGAACGCUGGCGGCAUGCCUUACACAUGCAAGUCGAACGGUAACAGGUCUUCGGAUGCUGACGAGUGGCGAACGGGCGAGUAAUACAUCGGAACGUGCCUAGUAGUGGGGGAUAACUACUCGAAAGAGUGGCUAAUACCGCAUGAGAUCUACGGAUGAAAGCAGGGGAUCGCAAGACCUUGUGCUACUAGAGCGGCCGAUGGCAGAUUAGGUAGUUGGUGGGAUAAAAGCUUACCAAGCCGGCGAUCUGUAGCUGGUCUGAGAGGACGAUCAGCCACACUGGGACUGAGAAACGGCCCAGACGCCUACGGGAGGCAGCAGUGGGGAAUUUUGGACAAUGGGCGAAAGCCUGAUCCAGCAAUGCCGCGUGCAGGAUGAAGGCCUUCGGGUUGUAAACUGCUUUUGUACGGAACGAAAAGCCCCGGGUUAAUACCCUGGGGUCAUGACGGUACCGUAAGAAUAAGCACCGGCUAACUACGUGCCAGCCGCCGCCGUAA
rnacentral:rRNA from 1 species